CGCCGGUGGCCGAGGUCGAGCAGGUGCGCGGUCAGCGCCCGCGCGGCGGCGACGCUCUCCGAGGCCACCUGGUCGCAGUCGAUGUCGGCGCC
rnacentral:tRNA from 2 species